UACGAAGGGGGCUAGCGUUGCUCGGAAUCACUGGGCGUAAAGGGCGCGUAGGCGGGAUGGCAAGUCGGUCGUGAAAUCCCUCGGCUCAACCGAGGAACGUCGAUCGAUACUGCUGUUCUUGAGGAUUGCAGAGGAGACUGGAAUUCCCGGUGUAGGGGUGAAAUCCGUAGAUAUCUGGAGGAACACCGGUGGCGAAGGCGGCAUCCUGGACCGACACUGACACUGAGGAGCGAAAGCCAGGGGAGCAAACGGG
rnacentral:rRNA from 1 species